AAAGUAUCGGAAAAAAAAUAUCAUAGCUUUGGUGGAAAUCUCAUCAACCAUUCAAACUAAUAAAUUUCAUAAUUUGUUGUUUUAUUGUAAAGACAAUAUCCAAAAUGCAUUUACAAGCAUGAGUGUAAGUCCCCCAAACUUUUUUUUAUUG